rnacentral:rRNA from 1 species
UACAGAGGGGGCAAGCGUUGUUCGGAAUUACUGGGCGUAAAGGGCGCGUAGGCGGCCCGCUAAGUCGAACGUGAAAUCCCCGAGCUCAACUCGGGAACUGCGUCCGAUACUGGCGGGCUUGAAUCCGGGAGAGGGAUGCGGAAUUCCAGGUGUAGCGGUGAAAUGCGUAGAUAUCUGGAGGAACACCGGUGGCGAAGGCAGCAUCCUGGACCGGCAUUGACGCUGAGGCGCGAAGGCUAGGGGAGCAAACGGG